UGAAUACGAGACGCUAAGGCGUCGAAGUAGUGUAUGUCAUACUUCCAAGAAAAGCUUGCACUGUCAUAAGUAAAAAAUGCCUGUACCAUAACCGACACAGGUGGGUAGGUAGAGUAUACUAAGGGGCGCGAGAUAACUCUCUCUAAGGAACUCGGCAAAAUAACUCCGUAACUUCGGGAGAAGGAGUACCUUAUUCUAUAAGGUUGCAAUAACAAGAUCCAAGCAACUGUUUAUCAAAAACACAGGUCUCCGCUAAGUCGUAAGACGAUGUAUGGGGGCUGACGCCUGCCCAGUGCCAGAAGGUUAAAGAAGUCGGUUAGCAUUAGCGAAGCUGGUAACUGAAGCCCUGGUGAACGGCGGCCGUAACUAUAACGGUCCUAAGGUAGCGAAAUUCCUUGUCGGGUAAGUUCCGACCCGCACGAAAGGCGUAAUGAUUUGGAUACUGUCUCGGAGAGGGGCUCGGUGAAAUAGACUUGUCUGUGAAGAUGCGGACUACCUGCACCAGGACAGAAAGACCCUAUGAAGCUUUACUGUAACUUGAAAUUGAAAUUGGACUUUAUUCGCGCAGUAUAGGUGGGAGGUGUUGAUUAUAAUCUUGCGGGAUUAUUGGAGCCAUCAGUGAGAUACCACUCUUGUAAUGUUAGAUUUCUAACUUUGAAUCAUUAUCUGGUCAAAGGACAGUUUCAGGCGGGCAGUUUGACUGGGGCGGUCGCCUCCCAAACGGUAACGGAGGCGUACAAAGGUUUCCUCUGAACGGGUAGAAAUCGUAUCUAGAGUGUAAAGGCAUAAGGAAGCUUGACUGUGAGACCUACAAGUCGAACAGGGACGAAAGUCGGUCUUAGUGAUCUGACGGUACUGAGUGGAAAGGCCGUCACUCAACGGAUAAAAGUUACUCUAAGGAUAACAGGCUGAUCUCCCCCAAGAGUUCACAUCGACGGGGAGGUUUGGCACCUCGAUGUCGGCUAUCGCAUCCUGGGGCGGUAGUACGUCCCAAGGGUUGGGCUGUUCGCCCAUGAAAGCGGUACGCGAGCUGGGUUCAGAACGUCGUGAGACAGUUCGGUCCAUAUCCGGUGUAGGCGUUAGAAUAUUGAGAGGAGCCUUCUUUAGUACGAGAGGACCGAGAAGGACAUACCUCUGGUGUACCAGUUAUCGUGCCAACGGUAAACGCUGGGUAGCUAUGUAUGGAGUGGAUAACCGCUGAAAGCAUCUAAGUGGGAAGCCCACCUCAAGAUCAGUAUUCUCAUC
rnacentral:rRNA from 1 species